rnacentral:lncRNA from 1 species
AUCACAUGUUGAUCAGACGGGAAAAGGUCUGAAGUGGGAAAAGGUCUGAAGAAGCUUUGAAAUAGAUGAGGGUUCUACAUGGAACCCAAAAGGGUUCUAUGGGGACAGCCGAAGAACCCUUUUGGAACCCUUUUUUCUAAUAGGUAAUAGCGCAGCUCAUGUUGGAUUUCAUACUCCCCCUGUCCAUAUCCCUGCUGCUGGUCAGCUUUUUGUCUUUGAUUUGUGUGUCCUGGAGGAUCCACAAAAGCUUCCCUUGCAUCUCUCUGUUCCACUACUGUUGUCAAGGUGUUUAUAUCCAUUACUACUGCAGUGAUUGAUUUUGACUGCAGAUAUUGACUGUUUGAGUUGUCCAUCUGUGAGAGGGUGCAUGGUGGUCUGUCAGUGAGAUAUUUUAUUGCAGAUUUGUCAUCAGACACAACCACCACCUGUUGGUUCAGCCACAUCCUCUGAGUUGAACACUAAUAUUGAGAACUCCCAGCUGUGGCCAGAGCAACUUACGAGACUGAAGCAGCAUAAUGCCCGAACAGCAUAAAACCACAUAGGCCUAACACUCUGGAACCUCAGGGCUAAACUGCGGUAAGCAAUUAAAAAAAUACAUGACAAAUAAUUAUGUCAUGUGCCCAGCACCAUAUUUGUCUGGGUAUGAAACAUGUGUCUGAAGAGAUGUGUUAUUGACAUUCAGAGGAUGAAUGAGGACCUGG